rnacentral:tRNA from 1 species
GCCUGGGUGGCUCAGUCGGUUAAGCUUCUGACUUCAGCUCAGGUCAUGAUCUCGCAGUCCGUGGGUUCCAGCCCCAUGUCAGGCU